rnacentral:rRNA from 1 species
UACGUAGGCAGCAAGCGUUGUUCGGAGUUACUGGGCGUAAAGGGUGCGUAGGCAGCUUCUUAAGUCUGGUGUGAAAUCUCCCGGCUCAACUGGGAGGGUGCGCCGGAUACUGAGGGGCUAGAGUGUGGGAGAGGAAAGUGGAAUUCCUGGUGUAGCGGUGAAAUGCGUAGAUAUCAGGAGGAACACCGGUGGUGUAAACGGCUUUCUGGACCAUAACUGACGCUGAGGCACGAAAGCGUGGGUAGCAAACAGG